rnacentral:rRNA from 1 species
AUUGAACGCUGGCGGCAUGCCUUACACAUGCAAGUCGAACGGCAGCACGGACUUCGGUCUGGUGGCGAGUGGCGAACGGGUGAGUAAUGUAUCGGAACGUACCUUUCAGUGGGGGAUAACGUAGCGAAAGUUACGCUAAUACCGCAUAUUCUGUGAGCAGGAAAGCAGGGGAUCGCAAGACCUUGCGCUGAUUGAGCGGCCGAUAUCAGAUUAGCUAGUUGGUGGGGUAAAGGCCUACCAAGGCUACGAUCUGUAGCGGGUCUGAGAGGAUGAUCCGCCACACUGGAACUGAGACACGGUCCAGACUCCUACGGGAGGCAGCAGUGGGGAAUUUUGGACAAUGGGGGCAACCCUGAUCCAGCCAUGCCGCGUGAGUGAAGAAGGCCUUCGGGUUGUAAAGCUCUUUCGGCCGGGAAGAAAUCGCAUCAGCUAAUACCUGGUGUGGAUGACGGUACCGGAAUAAGAAGCACCGGCUAACUACGUGCCAGCAGCCGCGGUAAUACGUAGGGUGCGAGCGUUAAUCGGAAUUACUGGGCGUAAAGCGUGCGCAGGCGGUUGUGUAAGACAGGCGUGAAAUCCCCGGGCUCAACCUGGGAACUGCGCUUGUGACUGCACAGCUAGAGUACGGCAGAGGGGGGUGGAAUUCCACGUGUAGCAGUGAAAUGCGUAGAGAUGUGGAGGAACACCGAUGGCGAAGGCAGCCCCCUGGGCCGAUACUGACGCUCAUGCACGAAAGCGUGGGUAGCAAACAGGAUUAGAUACCCUGGUAGUCCACGCCCUAAACGAUGUCAACUAGGUGUUGGGUGGGUAAAACCAUUUAGUACCGUAGCUAACGCGUGAAGUUGACCGCCUGGGGAGUACGGCCGCAAGGUUAAAACUCAAAGGAAUUGACGGGGACCCGCACAAGCGGUGGAUGAUGUGGAUUAAUUCGAUGCAACGCGAAAAACCUUACCUACCCUUGACAUGUCCAGAAGCCCGGAGAGAUUUGGGUGUGCCCGAAAGGGAACUGGAACACAGGUGCUGCAUGGCUGUCGUCAGCUCGUGUCGUGAGAUGUUGGGUUAAGUCCCGCAACGAGCGCAACCCUUGUCGUUAAUUGCCAUCAUUUAGUUGGGCACUUUAACGAGACUGCCGGUGACAAACCGGAGGAAGGUGGGGAUGACGUCAAGUCCUCAUGGCCCUUAUGGGUAGGGCUUCACACGUCAUACAAUGGUCGGUACAGAGGGUUGCCAAGCCGCGAGGUGGAGCCAAUCCCAGAAAGCCGAUCGUAGUCCGGAUUGCAGGCUGCAGCUCGCCUGCAUGAAGUCGGAAUCGCUAGUAAUCGCGGAUCAGCAUGUCGCGGUGAAUACGUUCCCGGGUCU